AGCGAACGCUGGCGGCAAGCCUAACACAUGCAAGUCGAACGAACUCUUCGGAGUUAGUGGCGGACGGGUGAGUAACACGUGGGAACGUGCCUUUAGGUUCGGAAUAACUCAGGGAAACUUGUGCUAAUACCGAAUGUGCCCUUCGGGGGAAAGAUUUAUCGCCUUUAGAGCGGCCCGCGUCUGAUUAGCUAGUUGGUGAGGUAAAGGCUCACCAAGGCGACGAUCAGUAGCUGGUCUGAGAGGAUGAUCAGCCACAUUGGGACUGAGACACGGCCCAAACUCCUACGGGAGGCAGCAGUGGGGAAUCUUGCGCAAUGGGCGAAAGCCUGACGCAGCCAUGCCGCGUGAAUGAUGAAGGUCUUAGGAUUGUAAAAUUCUUUCACCGGGGACGAUAAUGACGGUACCCGGAGAAGAAGCCCCGGCUAACUUCGUG
rnacentral:rRNA from 1 species